GGAAGUAAAAGUCGUAACAAGGUUUCCGUAGGUGAACCUGCGGAAGGAUCAUUAAUGAAAUUAUGACUGGGGUUGUCGCUGGCCUAUAAAACGGCAUGUGCACGCUCCUUUCACAAUCCACACACACCUGUGCACCUUCGCGGGGGUCUCCUCUCUUCGGAGAGGAGGCUCGCGUCCCUUUACACACCCUUUGUAUGUCUUAAGAAUGUCUACUCGAUGUAAUAAAACGCAUCUAAUACAACUUUCAACAACGGAUCUCUUGGCUCUCGCAUCGAUGAAGAACGCAGCGAAAUGCGAUAAGUAAUGUGAAUUGCAGAAUUCAGUGAAUCAUCGAAUCUUUGAACGCACCUUGCGCCCUUUGGUAUUCCGAAGGGCACACCUGUUUGAGUGUCGUGAAAUUCUCAACCCUCUUCGCUUUUUUGCGAACGUAGGGAUUGGACUUGGAGGCUUUGCCGGGCUUCACAUGCUCGGCUCCUCUCAAAUGCAUUAGUGCGUCUUGUUGCGACGUGCGCCUCGGUGUGAUAAUUAUCUACGCUGUGGUGGGCUCGCUUCUGUAGAGACACGCUUUCUAACUGUCCGAAAGGACAGCUUUCAUCGAACUUUGACCUCAAAUCAGGUGGGACUACCCGCUGAACUUAAGCAUAUCAAUAAGCGGAGGA
rnacentral:rRNA from 1 species